GCGCUGUUCAACUACUACACCAAGAAUUAGGCUCAAAAGAGGAUCUAGGUACUGUCAACUUCAAAUGCUUUGGCUCGCUAGCAACAAUGCAGCAGGCAACAAAAAGAAUUGCCAAUGAAUCAACAUCCAUUAAUCAGCCAGUUUUGAAGCCAAAACUUUGUGUCUAGUUAGCAGUACUUCGUUCAUUUGAGCGAUUUGAUUCAGGAGCUG
rnacentral:misc_RNA from 1 species